rnacentral:piRNA from 1 species
UCUUCUUUGGCAGCAGUUCAGUCCCUUAGC